rnacentral:misc_RNA from 1 species
GAAGAUUUGAAGUCAGGAAAUUGGGCCAAUAUAAAGGAUUGGUCCUCCCAAGCAACUUCCUCCUCAGGCAAAUUGAUCCAUUUGAAGAGUCCUUAAAGGAUCUUCUAAGAAUCCCUAGUAAUUACUCUUGUUGGAAGAACUUUUUCAGAAGCAACCACCAUAUUGUCUUCUUGUAGGGAAGGCAGGGUCUGAACUAUUGUGAUUCCAU